UUAUCCAGCCUACUAGAUUCAAAACCCUUUGCGAACAACACAAACCUUGUUAUAAAAACCGCCAUAUACGUAGCUUUUUAUGGUUUCUUGAGACCAAGAGAAUUUACCGCCAUCAACACAUCCCAGUCCACUCACAUUCUGCUUCAUUCACACUUAACAAAACACAUGGAUUACUAUAUUUUAGCUCUGCAUCACUCCAAAACCAAUCAACACGCACCCCCGGUAGAGGUUAGAUACUAUCC